UCUAAGUCUUCUAUUGAUGUU
rnacentral:miRNA from 1 species